rnacentral:rRNA from 1 species
GGUGGGGUAAAGGCCCAACCAAGGUUUUGAUCGGGUAGCUGGUCUGAGAGGAUGAUCAGCCACACUGGGACUGAGACACGGCCCAGACUCCUACGGGAGGCAGCAGUGGGGAAUUUUGGACAAUGGGGGCAACCCUGAUCCAGCCAUGCCGCGUGAGUGAAGAAGGCCUUCGGGUUGUAAAGCUCUUUCGGUAGGAACGAAACGGUUACGGUUAAUACCUGUGACUAAUGACGGUACUUACAGAAGAAGCACCGGCUAACUACGUGCCAGCAGCCGCGGUAAUACGUAGGGUGCGAGCGUUAAUCGGAAUUACUGGGCGUAAAGGGUGCGCAGGCGGUCUCGUAAGCUGGGUGUGAAAGCCCCGGGCUUAACCUGGGAAUGGCAUUCAGGACUGCGAGGCUUUGAGUGUGGCAGAGGGAGGUGGAAUUCCACGUGUAGCAGUGAAAUGCGUAGAGAUGUGGAGGAACACCGAUGGCGAA